UACGGGGGGGGGCAAGCGUUGUUCGGAAUUACUGGGCGUAAAGGGCUCGUAGGCGGCCAACUAAGUCGGAUGUGAAAUCCCCAGGCUCAACUUGGGAACUGCAUCCGAUACUGGAUGGCUUGAAUUCGGGAGAGGGAUGCAGAAUUCCAGGUGUAGCGGUGAAAUGCGUAGAUAUCGGGAGGAACACCAGUGGCGAAGGCGACUACCUGGCCUGUUCUUGACGCUGAGGCGCGAAAGCUAGGGGAGCAAACGGG
rnacentral:rRNA from 1 species